rnacentral:rRNA from 1 species
GUGGGGAAUCUUCCACAAUGGACGAAAGUCUGAUGGAGCAACGCCGCGUGAGUGAAGAAGGGUUUCGGCUCGUAAAGCUCUGUUGUCGGGGACGAAUGUGCAGUAUUUGAAUAAAGUACUGCAAUGACGGUACCUGACGAGGAAGCCACGGCUAACUACGUGCCAGCAGCCGCGGUAAUACGUAGGUGGCAAGCGUUGUCCGGAAUUAUUGGGCGUAAAGGGAGCGCAGGCGGGAAGGUAAGUCGGUCUUAAAAGUGCGGGGCUCAACCCCGUGAUGGUAUCGAAACUAUCUUUCUUGAGUGCAGGAGAGGAAAGUGGAAUUCCUAGUGUAGCGGUGAAAUGCGUAGAUAUUGGGAAGAACACCGGUGGCGAAGGCGACUUGCUGGCCAGCAACUGACGCUGAGGCGCGAAAGCCAGGGGAGCAAACGGGAUUAGAUACCCUAGUAGUCC